rnacentral:tRNA from 1 species
AGUAAGUUAGGUUAAUUAGAUUGUCUGUUUUCAAAACAGGAGGUACUCUUAUGAGUUACUUACUG